UUCUGAUGGUGUGAAUGAUUGCUCUC
rnacentral:sRNA from 1 species